CUGAACAUGAACCUUUCUUAAAAGCAGGUGGUUUCUUGAAUAGGCCUUCUCAUUUUUAAGUAUUGGGAAAGAAAUAAGACUUCCGUGGUCUCCAGACAAAUGAGACUUAGAGGGUCAGGAAGAAGAAAUCAGAACUCUUUCGUCUAUAAAGUCCAGGAAAUGAGACUUCAUCCACCAGCUGCAGGUGUGAUUUCAGCCCUUCAUGUUCUCAUUCUCCAGUCCUUACUGAAGCAAGCUAUCUCUUCCAAAACAGUUUAAGGUAAUAGCUGAAUAAAGCAUAACCUUCCCAGGAAAUUUCAGGACUUUAUUAUCUGCUCAUAGACAAAAGCCAGAAAUACAAAGACAGAUAAUGAUAGUAAUAAUAAUAAUAAUAAUAAUAAACCAGCAGGCAAAGAAUAAAAACAAAUCUCUUUUUUAUUAAAGCCUCUCAGGG
rnacentral:lncRNA from 1 species